CAGUGCAGGACUGGCGACGAAACGCCAGCGUUUGAAUACGCGAUCAUUCUUCGUUGCAUAUCGAAUCAUCUCGUUGGUUUUAAAUGUUUCACCAAUAGCGAAGCAAUGAAUAGAGAAGAGCGACGUAGCAAAGCAGCGGUAUGACUUUUGUCCUUGUCUCACGUCUCAUUUCACCUGAACACAAUGAAAGUGCGCAACACGCAGUAGGUGGGGGUAUUAUGCGAGAAAGAGAGGAAACAGGAGGGAGAGAAAUCAUCCGCCUUGCGAGCCCGUCAUGGCUGAUUCAUCGUGAGGGGCUCUUAUAGGAGUACGAUAACAAAUGACAUUGUGAUUGAAUCACUGAGCGUACACGGCAAGUACAGUGCAUGGAGUUGCCUCUAAAUCGAACCGAUAAUCUCGAUGCGGAGAUUCUACGAGCGAACUUGAUAAACGGCGUUUUCGCGUGCGCGUAACACCCCCGUGGAACGAUGAACGGGUUAAGUUUUAGUGAACUGUGUUGCUUGUUUUGCUGUCCACCUUGCCCGUCCAGAAUCGCUGCGAAGCUAGCGUUCCUACCACCUGAGCCUACCUACGCGUUCAUCGAGGACGAAGGAUCCAAGGUUACAAUUUCCCUGUCUGAAAGAGCGGAAUGGCAAUACACGGAAAGGGAGAAAGAGUCGGUGGAAGGUUUCUAUGCAAGAACGUCACGAGGGAAUCGAAUAGCCUGUCUGUUCGUACGGUGUUCGGCCACCGCACGUUUUACCAUUUUAUACUCCCAUGGGAACGCAGUCGAUCUCGGACAGAUGUCUAGUUUUUAUCUGGGACUCGGGUCCAGAAUAAAUUGCAACAUAUUCAGUUACGAUUACUCGGGCUACGGAGUCUCCGGUGGCAAACCGUCGGAAAAGAACCUUUACGCGGACAUAGACGCUGCGUGGCAUGCUCUCAGAACACGUUAUGGCAUCAGCCCGGAAAACAUCAUUCUAUAUGGCCAGAGCAUCGGGACUGUACCCACGGUCGAUCUGGCCGCGCGAUACGAGGUUGGCGCAGUUGUUCUGCAUUCACCUUUAAUGUCGGGAAUGCGAGUCGCUUUCCCCAAUACUAAGAGAACUUGGUUCUUCGACGCCUUCCCUAGUAUAGACAAAGUACCCAAAGUGACAUCUCCGGUUUUGGUGAUUCAUGGGACUGAGGAUGAUGUAAUAAAUUUUAGUCAUGGUUUGGCGAUUUACGAGAGAUGUCCAAGAGCAGUAGAACCAUUAUGGGUUGAGGGUGCUGGUCAUAAUGAUGUGGAACUAUAUGACCAAUAUUUGGAGCGACUGAAGCAAUUUGUAAGUGUGGAAUUGAUAAACUGACGCCGACUGAGCCUCUCCCAGAAUCAGGGGGGGCAGGGAGGAGGACAUACACACGUGAGCAGUCAAGGACACACCACUUCUAAUAAUUCAAAUACUACCAGCUCCAUUUCGACAAGCUCGCAGACUGAGAAGCUUGUCUAGCAAUCGCCUCUCACAGGGGUGAAGGCACUUGUCCGCCCCUGUGACGAAGAAUCAUCUUCCGUUUCUACGGACGAUGGUUUCUUUUUUCGUGAUCAGCAGAUAGAUGUUAAUCAGAAGAUUCACUGUAAAAAUUCUUUAAAGGAAACAUGUUCCAAAGAUGAUAAUUCAAGUUUAGAUAGUAAUUCGAAAAAAGCUAUUCAACAAGACGAGAAGAGUGUGAAAGAAGAGGAACUAGCAACAAAUGUUCAAGAGAAUAAAUACAAUAAAACGAUAUUAGAAGGACACUGAAGAAUUCAUUUGGUCAAGGCCAUAAAAAAGCUGACACACAAAUAUCUCAUACAACUUUGGUUGACAUACAGGUCGAAGACUGCCGUCAAUUUGCGAUCGGAGAAAAAUCAUUUCCCAAUAUUCCUAAUGAUAAUAAUAAAAGCAUUUCAGACUGCAAAAGUAUUCAAAGUAUUCAAAGUCAGUUCAAAGCAGAGAAGAAAUCUCCUAUAAAUCAAUUUAAAUAUAGUAGUAUAGAAUCUGUUUUGGAUUCAGAGUGUACGAAGAAUAAUAAGAAACAUUGUUGUAAAAUCUUAAGUAAAGAUGUAAUUAUAAAAGGUAAGAAGCUCGAGGAGCACGAAGCACAAGCUCAUAAUGAAAAAUCGGUAGAAUCUACGAAAAAGUUUUUAUGGGGAACUAAAAGUGCAAGUAAGAGUUUCGAAAAGACUUGUAAAGAUAAAGGAAAAACCCAGGAUCCCAUGGAAAAGAAACUGAAAGCUAAAAGAAUCCUUUCCAGUCCCUUAAGAAAAUUUGGUCGAUCAUCAUUGACAAUCGAGCCGGAUAAAAUUAUGAUAAACUUACCAAAGUGUUCUCCUUGUGCUUGUAGGUUGGCUGCAAGCUCAAAAAUUUUAUCCAAUGAUUCCAGUUUACUUUCCCGAUUUACUACGAAUCGCGAGAGUCCUCAUCAUGCUGUACGUUUGAAAAGUCCAUCGCAUGUAGAUGUACAAACAGAUAUCACUUUGAAAACUUCAGAAAGGACGUCGAUGCAGGCUAAUUUGUUACCAAACGUACAACAAAAAUCACGGUAUACACCUCGAAGCAGAAGCGUUGGUGAGCUGUGCAAUAUUGUGAAUAAGUGAAUCAGCCACGAGUUAUUCGUCUGUUGGAGCGAAACCAUUGUAACUGAACAAAGCUGGACUUCCGACAUCAUCAGUUGAAUGCUCAGGAAAUGUUAUUCAGAAGUUAAGGAGAAAAUUAUAUAAGUCGAAUAUUCUGAUAAAAUUUAAUACGCAACUUUAGAGACAAAGUGUCAACUAAAUACCGUGAAUUCCACGUGUCUCGCCAAGUUGUCGUUUCAUUAUUCUUCCACAUAACUGUCUUUAAAGAAAUCAUAGAUUUAUACGCACGACACUUAUUCGGGCUGUAACAGUGCUAGUGAGACUGUGCACAUAAAUACACGUACGAUAUAUACAUAAAAUUUAUUAUAUUUCUAGAGAUAUGAGAUAAUAUAUCUGUGCAUACUAAAUAUUCUUACUGUACACAUGCGUACACAUAUCAGUGUAUGCGUGUGUAUGUCGUUUUCGCAAUGUAAAACGUUGUGAAACGUUGUUACGACAAAUAUGUCGAGUAUUAUUAUUAUUAUUAUUAUUAUUCUUCUUUUUUUUAUUAUUAUUAUUAUCAUUUUUAUUAUCAUUCUUUUUAAAACUAGGAAGUUGAACAUGAUUUACAUUGAAAUAGUUUUUGCUACCACGAAUGCUAUUACACUCAACUGUAACAAGUGUGUGGCACGAAAAUUCUUCGCUGAACCUAUACUCGUUAAUUUAAAUUAUCGGUAUAAUUUUGUAUCAUUAUUGAUUACUCGAAAAGUCGGUCAAUUUUUUGAAUGCUUUCAUCGUCAAUCAUUUUAUCAUUUCAUUAUGCAUUUAAACUUACUUUUUCGAGAGGAAAAGAAGUAAUGAUUAAUAGAUUUGUUAAUGAAUGCGAGAUGUAUGUUUUGCAUUGUGUGUUUUUAUGACUCAAUUUUAUAAAUUAGGUUCAGCGGUGAAAAAUAAUACGUGAAACAAUACUUGAAGUCGCAUGUUUUUUAUAAAUAAAUCGCUGUCACUGAGACCCGGGUACAUGACAGCUAUACAGAUAACAAAAAAAUUUGUUUUUAUAUUAACCCACAGCAAAGGCCUGUGCAGCGAGCAAUGGAAAUCUUCCAAGAUAGCAAAGAAUUUAGGAUAGAGACUAAAAGUUAAUGGAUAGCGUUAAGGAAACGUGUAAAUGUGAGACGUGUAAGACGCUAUGUUUUAAUGACAAUGAAUGAAAUGAUGGUCUUGUAAACAACAAUAAGAAUGCAACUAGAUAGGGACAAUAUUACUGCCAAACUCGAUUAUGAAUUAGUUUAUUUCUAAAGAGGUGAAUCGUUUGGAGGAUCUUGUCUAUAGGUAUGUUUAUUGUUAGUAUUUUUAUAUCUCGAUAAUGUAAAUAUAAUACAAUUAAAUAAUUUUUUCUUUACUAGUGUAUGUAUAAUGUAUGCGACAACGUGAAACGACUGUACGGAGCCAAUGGAAUGACUCGACGUUAGUACAUGUAUGUAUUUCUGUAGAAAUCGUAUUUUUUUUUUUUAAUUUUGAAUUAUCAUGAACAUUUCUACCCGUCCUUAUUGUCUUUUAAAUUGCUAUGAAGCGAUUUUUAAAUUAUAAGUAUAAGGUGAAAUUAAAUGUAUGUAUAAUUGUGAUGGUAUGAACGGACGGAAAGUGAAUAUAAGUUUAUUAAAAAGAAGGUAUCUAAUUGAUUUAUAAAUAUUUAUAUUAUAAAAAAAUGAAGAACUUUUUUAAUUAUUUACUUUUUACUUUACCCGUAACUUAAAACCCAAUUUAAUUGAUUUAUAAAUAUUUAUAUUACAGAUAAUUAAGAACUUUCGUUACUUUUCACGUUUGAUUGUUAUUUAUUUUUCAUGUUUCAUGUUUCACAUUGUUAUUUGAAAACGUCUAUUUAAUUGUUAAACUUUAUAUUCACUUUCCCAUAGCGUUAAUCUUUUAGAAUACCCUAUGGUGGAUAUUAGUACCGAGAUAGAGUCCGAUAUACUAUUCUUCCAUUGGCUUUCACGUAGCCGCUGAUCUGUACCGAUCGCAAUUCUAAUAUCUAUUUCAUAACUUGUGAAAAAAAAAUUUAUACCGUUGUUCGCGACAAAUGUCCAGUUCUAUAAACGACGGAUAUUUCAGAAAGCGAUUUUAUAAAAAACUCCGCGAAAGAUAACGUAGAAUAAUAAAGCGAUCGGUGCUCAUCGAAUAUUAGAAUCGGUCGUUUAUAAAACUGGACAGAAACUAACUUUUGUACAGCAUACUUCGAACGCAUAUAUGUCCCCUCUUUCUUCUACUUUCUUUCUCGUUUCCCGUCGUGUAUUUCUCUCUUUCUCUCUUUCUCUCGCUCAUUUCUUUUACUAUUUUUUAUUACCCUACUCUAUCUCUCAAUAUGCGUCAAGCAAUCGACCGGUUUUGAACAGUACUUUCGUCUUUCAUAAUUGCAUCGUGCUGAUAGAAUGGUACUCAGUGGUCUUUUUUGGGAGGAAGGGGAAGGGGAAGGGGGGAAGGUAUCACGCAAAUCACGGUGCGAUAUUCAUAACUGUACAUAAUAGCGUGUAAGUAAAGUAUUAGAAAUAAUAUGCUCGAUGUUCUGUUCGGUCGUAACUAAUGUACUUACGGGAGAAGGUGGGUUAAAGAGAUGGGAGGGAGGAGAUAACAAUGAUAGAGAUUACGAGGUCCCUUGAACCGAUCGUUAGUGUCAUAUGUAUCACGAAGCGACUAGUUAUGCAAAAUGAAUUAGUUGAUUAGUUGUUUAAUAAGUAAAUAACAUGUAGAUCAUUACAAAAUUAUUAUAGCACAGGAAAGAGAAGAAAGAGAAGAAAGAUGACUAUCGUUUAUUUCAGAUUAAAAAUGAUGAAAUUACUGUUUUAUUUAGCGCAUUAAGAUAUGCUUGAUAAUAUCAAGCGAAACCAUGUUAUUUCUUAUGAGGUCGUAUAGAAUGCGUAGCCUGAAACCACACUGCUGGGCACCCAACUAGGGUUGUUUUAGAGUUUUAUACUCCUAUCGCACUUGACCUGAGCGUACUGCAUUACAAAAUACUUUAUCAAUCCUUGCAACGUUUAGACAAUGUACAAUAAUAGUAUAAAUUUUAUCUGUAAAUUUAUAUCAUUUGGUGCAGCUUAUUUUACCAGAAAAUCUUGCGAUAUCGUGUGUCAUUUAUCGAAUAAAUUAUUUCUCAGCGGAAAUAUCGUCAUCCGUCUGUUCAAGCAAUCAGUUAUCACACGUUCAUUAAAAUUAUUAAGAUUGUAGAAUUUGUAUUUAAAUAAUGCAGCCGCUCAUUGUCACACUAUACUAUAAUGUCGAAAUUAUGUACGUACUCAUAAUCUUGUUUUGUUUAUUCCUUCUUUUUUUUAUUCGUUCUUUUUUAAACAUCUUUCUCUUUUGUUAGUACCAAACAUUGCAAAUUGGUAUUUGUAAUUAAUACUACUGGAGUAACAAUGUUAAUAAAAUCCUAUAGAAAUGACAGUA